GCGUCGAGUCGCAACUGGGCUUUAAAUCGGCGCAUGCGUUGUGUUGUAACGUCCGGCUGCCGGCUGAAUUUGCGGUGCCGGGCUGUCCCGGGCUGGUGCUGCGGUCCUGGCGAUGGAGUCGACGGGCCCCAUGGUGAAAGGAGGUUGGGCACAUUGGGUCCAUAGCGGCUCCGAGUCCCGCAAUGUUGCCCAGCUCUUUGGCUUCCCCCUUUAGUAUGAGGAUGUGAGCAUUCAGCCCUUUCACACUAUCCAAGCCCACAGUCGUUUAACCCUGUACUGUGUACCGCAGAAAGCAUCCGAGAGGGAUGCAUAAUGGCUCAGUCCGGCAACUGUUAUGUCUGCAGAGAGAUGUGUCACCACAUCACUGGAACCACCUCCAUGGACUCUGUCUACACUUCCCAGUACCUCAGUUAAACAGCCAGCGUAAUCACAGACCCCACUCAUCCCGGGCCUUCCCACUUUUCAAGAAUCUUUAUUUAAGGACUCCCAUUGCCAAGGCCUUACACCCUACCAUUGCUACCAUCAGCAGGCCCUGGCUCAAAACAACAACAUCCAUCAUCAGAUCAUCAGAAAUCCCUGCUGCAUGGGCCAUGCCAUCUUCUUGCAGCUUCCACUGAGCAAGACGGACAGAAGCCUGAAGUCCCAUUCAGACAUUCACUGUCGAACCAACUGUUCAACUUACUGUUGUUAACAGAGUUAUCUUAGAUGCAGGUCACUAUCUCUUGACUGAAGAAUCAAUAAGGUCGAUCCUUUACGAAACUGCUGAACGACACCAACUUUACUCGACUCGGCGAAUUCCUGAAUUUUGGUAAGGUCUUCUCUCUCCAAUACUACUUAUAAUAGAAAGUAGAACUCCACUUUAAAACAAAACUGCGUCAUCAGCCGAAUCCGCAGCAAAACCAGAGUAUCUAACACAAAACUAAACUGAAAACCUAACUGCGUCACAUCAGGAGUCUCUGUUUAUAUUCCUGUUGAGAACAGGUCAUCAUGUGACCUCACUGGUGGGAAAAUUACAUCAUGUGACCUCCGCAAGACCAUUACAUCAUCCUCAUAAGACAGUCACAAGACAUCCAUGAAGUAUGUAACACUACCUCACUAGCAUCAUUUUCCAGUGGUCCAAUAUCAACUCUCGCCUCCCUUUUACUCUUUAUAUAACUGAAAAAGUCUUCUAGUAUCCUGCUUUAUAUUAUUGGCUAGUUUGCCCUCAUAUUUAAUCUUUUCCCUUCUUAUAGCUUUUUUAGGUGCUUUUGUUGGAUUUUAAAAGCUUCCCAAUCAUCCAACUUCCCACCCACUUUUGCUACCUCAUAUGCCCUUUUCUUGGCUUUUAUGCAGUCGUUAACUUCCCUUGUCAGCCACUGUAACCUACACCUGCCAUUUGAGAACAACUACUUCUGUGCGAAAUAUCUAUCCUGCGCCUUAUGAAUUAUUCCCAGAAACCUCAGCUAUUUCUGUUCUGCUGUCAUCCCCACCUGUAUCCCCCUCCAAUCUACCUGUGCAAACUUCUAUCCCAUGUCUCUGUAAUUCCCUUUAUCCCAUUGUGAUAGUGAUAUAUGUGACUUAUGCUUUUCCCUCUCAAACUACAGUAUGAAUUCAAUCAUAUUAUGAUCACUGCCUCCUAAGUGUUCCUUUACAUUAAGCUCCCUAAUAAGAUCUGGGUUAUUACACAACACCCAAUCUAAAAUAGCCUUUCUCUGAGUAGGCUCAAGCACAAACUGCUCUAAAAAGCCAUCUCGGAGCCAUUCAACUAGUUCCCUCUCUUGUGAUCCAACACUAACCUGAUUUUCCCCAUCCCCUGCAUACUGAAGUCCCCCAUUACAAUUGUAUAAUUACCCUUAUUACAUGCCUUUUCCAGUUCCCUUUGCAAUCUCAACCCUACAUCUUGGCUACUAUUUGGAGGCCUAUAUAUGAUUCCCAUAGUGGUUUUUUAACCCUUGCAGUUUCUGAACUCCACCCACAAAGAUUCAACAUUCUCUGACCCUGUGUCACCUCUUUCUAAAGAUGUAAUUCCAUCUCUUAUCAACAGAGCCACACCACCGCCUAUGCCUUCCUGCCUGUCCUUUUGAUACAAAGUAUAUCCUUUGAUAUUAAACUUCCAACUAUGGUCUUCUUUCAGCCACGACUCAGUGAUGCCCACAAUGUCAUACCGACCAAUCUCUAAUUGUGGCAUGAGUUCAUCCACCUUAUUCCGAAUGCUACACGCAUUUAAAUACAGCAUCUUCAGUCCUGCAUUCUUCACCCUUCUGAAUUUUGCCUCUGUGGUACAAUUUAACUCUUUGCUCUCUCUGCAUUUGUACCCAAUCACUGGCUUGUCCUUCUUUCCAUUCAUGUUACACCCAUCAUCUACUUGUAAACCCGCUGGCUGAUCCUCAGCUCUGUCAUACUGGUCCCCAUCCCCCUGGCAUAUUAGUUUCAACCACUCCCAGGAUGGUGUUGUGGCACCACUCAGCUAGAUUUUCAAUCUCCUUCCUAUAUGCUGAUUCAACCUAUGACAGUGAUGUCGUCAGCAAACUUGAAUAUGGCACUGGAGCUGUGCUUAGCCUCACACUCAGAAGGGUAAGGGACUAAGCACACAGCAUUGUGGUGUACCUGUGCUUGUGAAGAUCAUGGAGGAGAUGUUGCCAAUCCAAACUGAACGUGCUCUGCAAGUGACCCCAAUUAACCUCUCUUGUUUCUGUAACCACCCACGGUGAGCACCCUUUUCUAGUUUGCACAUCUAGUCUCUGCCGACCUGUCAUUCGAUACCGCUGAUUAUUGGUUCGGGGAAGAAAGAACACAGAGUGGAAAGAAUUGUAAACACUAGAGAUUCUGUAGAUGCUGGAAAUCCAAAGCAACACAAACAAAAUGCUGGAGGAACUCAGCAGGUCAGGCAGCUGCUAUGGAAAUGAAUAAACAGUCAACAUUUUGGGCCGAGACCCUUCAUCAGGAGUAAAGAAUGUAACCCCAUUGUAUCCAUCCCCAUUGCCAGUGUGGAUCUCCCUUCAUUUCAACUCUGCAGAGCAGAAUCUGGUGGUCAAUGGACCCACAAGCUUAACUGAAGCCGCAAUCAUUCACUGAACAAAAUGUGCCACGAUAGUACAGCGGUCAAUAUGAUGUUAUUACAGCUCAGGGCGUCAGAGUUCUGGGUUCAAUUCCAACCUCAUCUGUAAGAAAUUCGUAUAUUGUCCCCGUGAGUGGGUGGAUAUCCUACCGGUGCUCUUGUUUUCUCCCACAUUGCAAAGACAUACCAGUUAGUAGGUUAAAUUGUCCCGUGAUUAGGCUAGGAUUAAAUCAGUGGGUUGCAGGGCAGUGCAGCUUUUGGGCUGGAAAGGCCUGUUCUGUGUUGUAUCUCUAAAUAAAAUAAAAUAAUUGUUUUGCAGAUUUCACAAUUAAAAUUUAAUUUCUUGCAUGGCUGUGUUCAUGUGUAAAUGCAUUGGUCAGUAUAGCAGUCUGUUCAGCCAGCAAGAACAUUAGGAACUUUAUUUGAA